CAGGAGAAGAAGUUUUAUUCUCACUGUUGUAGUUUAGGGAAGUGCUGUUGUUGGACACAGUUUUUUCUUGUACGUCCAUCACAAAGGUGAGUUUCUGACAAAACAAAUCAUAAUUAUCUGACUUUUUGUGUCUGCAUGAUGGAAACGUCUCUAUAACAGAUUUUAACAUCAUGUCAAGGUGCAGCAAAUCUUCUUACUGUUAAUAAACAAACCAUCUUACAUGACUCCUGUGUCUUACUUCAGCUGUGGCAGAAGGAGCUGUGCUGCUGGGUAUACUAAACUGUGUGAGCACCGCUGGACUUCAAGUCAGACCUACUAUGACAUCCUCUUAAAUACCUUCAUAAAUUAUCCUUUCUGAAUUUCUGUUUUAGCAUUAUGUCCGGGUUUUUAAGUGAAAGAGGACCCAGCUUGUGUCUUUGGACUCUGAAUGGAGGAAGUGUGUGAGCAGACGUACAGGGAGAUCCCGUCACAGACCUCAGGAGAGUACAGCAGGCUGCAUGUGGGUGAGUUUCCCCCUGGAGUUCAGUGCAGCAGAUAAGAGGAAGACUUAAUGAGCUGUAAUGAAGCAGGAGGUUUGACUGUUCUUUCACUUACUGCCAGAUGUCCCUGUGUGAGAUUAUUCUUAAUUUUUAUUGCUGUGAUGACUCACGCCAUGUGUUAAAUGUAUUUGGUGAGAUUUUUGCAGUUCAUUUGCAGGCAGUGCUAUAGCUGUAUCUAGUCAGUUUGGUUAUCUGUUCAUAGAGAAAUAACAGCUUUAGACCAUCCUCUCAUUACUGCUUGUUAUACUGUAGUUAAUACCUUGUAGAUUUAUACCUUCUGAACUUUCAUGUUCUUUCACAGAGAUUGACUCCUGCACACAUAUGACAAUUAACAGCUCUAUGGAUUUUCACUUUAGCAUCAAGAAUAAAGGACAAUAUUGUUUUCUCAAACAAGGUUGUUUUUAAAUUGUCAAAUUGAGAGCAAACCAGAGCUACAUGCAGUGACCUGAUUUAUAAGAAUGAACAGUGACAUCUAGUGGCUCUAAGAAACAAUGUCUUUUAUCAAACAGGCUGUGAGCAGAGUACAUUUUAUGCAUCAGUUUGCACAAUUUAAAUCACUUGCUUGAAAAAUAUUUAACAUAAGAG